rnacentral:rRNA from 1 species
GAUGAACGCUGGCGGCGUGCCUAAUACAUGCAAGUCGAGCGAACAGACGAGGAGCUUGCUCCUCUGACGUUAGCGGCGGACGGGUGAGUAACACGUGGAUAACCUACCUAUAAGACUGGGAUAACUUCGGGAAACCGGAGCUAAUACCGGAUAAUAUAUUGAACCGCAUGGUUCAAUAGUGAAAGACGGUUUUGCUGUCACUUAUAGAUGGAUCCGCGCCGCAUUAGCUAGUUGGUAAGGUAACGGCUUACCAAGGCAACGAUGCGUAGCCGACCUGAGAGGGUGAUCGGCCACACUGGAACUGAGACACGGUCCAGACUCCUACGGGAGGCCGCAGUAGGGAAUCUUCCGCAAUGGGCGAAAGCCUGACGGAGCAACGCCGCGUGAGUGAUGCAGGUCUUCGGAUCGUAAAACUCUGUUAUUAGGGAAGAACAAAUGUGUAAGUAACUAUGCACGUCUUGACGGUACCUAAUCAGAAAGCCACGGCUAACUACGUG